GAAGUCAUUGGACUUCCUACAGGAUAUGGAAUAAUAACACGUGGUCCAUGCUGCGGAAUUCCACAUGGUACUCUCCCAUCGAGUGGUUACAUUAGAUCAGCUGGUACGCCGACGGCUUACUGGCUGGAUGGUUGGCUGCUGUGACGUCAGCUCGUUCGUCGGAUACCCGCUGAGUUCUCUCGGAUCAGUCCCGUAGAAGUAGGUCGACUAAAUCCGCGUCGCCCACGCUGCUCGAAGCUUAGAACACCAUCGUCGCUAUCGUCAUCCGAAAAGAAUGUCGGUCUCUGAACGAAGGAAUCGUUUGUCGCUCUUGUACGAUCUACCUCAAAAUAAUCUAUGACGUUCUUUUUUUCCUUUUUUUUUUUUUUUUAAGUUAAGAAGAUUAUUCCGACUUUAAGUCGACGAUAUAUUUUCUAUGAAACUCGAGUAUCAUGCAUGUUCAUUGAACAAACGUUAUCGUAUCAGAUAAUAGUGGCGACGUUGAAAUUGAAUGACUUUUUCCAAGAGAUUAUUCCCGGAUGCUGGAAAAUUUGAAAAGUGAGAAAUCACGAAACUGAAUUUCAAAAAUUUCGAUAGAAUUUGUUUUGCAAUUGUUAUAUAAGAGAUGUAUGUAUUGACUAAUAUUAUUAUAUUAUCAUUAUUGAGCUAAUAUUUUGAAAACUUGGAAUUACGUAACUAUACCACUCCAAUUCGAUAUUUUUUUCUUGAACGUAUGCUUAACGUAUACGUAAUGUUAAAAAAAUGCGCAGAAAAAUCAAAUUUGCACGAAAUCACAACGAAAGGCCAGAAUCAAAUUCAACAAUAUCAUUAAUAAAUAUACAUAUAGUAUCGCGUAAAGAUAAAAGAAAUUUCCGAUAUAAAUCAUCAAAGAUACGUCCAGUCUCCCGUUGAUCGUUCGAAACGAGAAGAACAUAGGCACGGAGGCGUGCGAAUGUUUUCACGCGGCAUACGUGCAGACGCGGGCGCGCGAGCGCGCGCGCGAAAAAACACAGCUAAAUACGCCGCGGAAUUGCGCCUAUAUACGCGCACACGGAUGUUCGAAUCUGGUGCCACGUCCGCGUUCCGCGUGUGUGUCGGUGCUCUCGCGCACGCGCGCGGCUGUGUAUUAGUGAGAGAGCCGCGAGAGAGAGAGACAUGCGGAUUGUGCGGUUGUGUGUCGGCGACGCGCCGCUCUCGGUCGGCUCGCGUGAGUCACCAACAGCUGAUGGCUGGCGCCACUCAGCUGGUUGUUACCGGUGCCUUCGCACGAGCCUCGCUAUCUCUGGCUGCCUAUCAGCUGCGAGCAACUAGGAAAACGACCGGAAAGGACGUCUUGUCGAGCUCUAUAAAAAAACCAGAGAGAAAAAGUGCCGUGGUUACGCGACGGCGUCUACGAUGGCGUUGGCGUUCCUUCGAGCCUUCCAACCUGAUCGCCUUGUCGGGUAUAAAUGAAACACGUAGUCGAAACACGCACCAAGAAGAUUACACGCUUCCGUUUCACUUCAGAUUCUAUACCCGAUCGAGUAAUUCCCCGGGUGGAAAUAUUUAGGUAUACGUGUACGCGACGCGCAACGUUCUGUCGUAUAACGGAAAAGGUCAAGGUUCAUUGAAAAGUUGAGUAAAUUCGUACCGUUUGAGAAUCUUGGCCGUUUCAUUCAUCGCUUUGAAUACGGUUCAUAGAGUACUUUGGUUAUUUUAGGAUCUAUCUGUUCCACGAUUGCUGGAUGCAACGAUCCGAUGUUACGCCAUUUGUUUGUCGAUAUACGCGUACACUGAUCUUGCACGAUUAAUUUUGAUGUUUCGAGUGCUAAGAUUGGAUUUUGAUACGCGAUCGAGAUUAUCGUACAUGUACGAUUUGUUAUUUUAUAAUUAAAAAAGUUUUACGUCAUGCAAAUUUUAAUACAUAAUCCGUUUUCUAUCCGUUAAUAUUAUGUUUACGUUUCUAUAACAUUUUAUUUAUUUUCAACAUUAUAUAAUUCUCUUUUUACUUUGAGUAUGUGUCAACAACUAUCCUAUUACCAUAAAUAAAAUCAUAAUAUUUUUUCUUAUCUUUUUUUUUUUUCCUUAUCCAUACAAGUUUUUUGUAAAAGAAAAAAAGAGGAAAAAAAUUCAAUAAAGAAUUUUUUAUGCGUAUAUUAUACCUUGAAAUAAAUCUAAAGAUAAGAUAUAUAAUUAAACUCAUAAAAAAAUAUAUAAAAUAAGAAAAGAUAAAUAAAAGGAAAAAAAAAGAAAAAUAUAUAUUUCUUCGAUCAAACCUAAAAUAAAAGCAUCAAAAUAAUAAAAUUUUGAAUUUUUUUUAAGUCACCCGGUAUACAUAUCCAAGGCUAAGUUUAGGUAGAACAGGGGAACUGCACGGCGUUCUUCGAAUGGUCGUGAAACAGACUUGUAUAGGUGCCUCUACCUACUAUCUGCGCAUUUAUGUGCGUCUGUUCGUUUACGUUGGGGUUUGGACACCCUAGCCAACUACCCAACCUCGGAAACCUCCCUACCUCCCAACCUUCCUAUGAACGAAGCCUAUCAGACGCACUGCGGAGACCUAUCUUCUUUUUUUUCUUUCCCCUUUUAUUUUAUUUCUCUUACACCGUCGAUUAAUCUCUCUUCAAUUUUU